CCCUUAGAUGUUCUGGGCCGCACGCGCGCUACACUGAUGCGUUCAACGAGUAUACAACCUUGAUCGAUAGGUCUGGGUAAUCUUGUGAAUGCGCAUCGUGCUAGGGAUAGAUUGUUGCAAUUUUCAAUCUUGAACGAGGAAUUCCUAGUAAACGCAAGUCAUCAGCUUGCAUUGAUUACGUCCCUGCCCUUUGUACACACCGCCCGUCGCACCUACCGAUUGAGUGAUCCGGUGAAUAAUUCGGACUGACGCAGUGCUCAGCUUCUGGACGUUGCGUCGGAAAGUUUCAUGAACCUUAUCACUUAGAGGAAGGAGAAGUCGUAACA
rnacentral:rRNA from 1 species